rnacentral:lncRNA from 1 species
AAAACGUGUGAUUUGCAGUGUAUCCACCCUCUUCAAAGGGGACAUGAAGACAGAGACUCCAGUGCACCUCAGGCUAAGGACAUAAAUAUUAAGGACAUCACUGCAACUGAUGCACAGAGCCCCUGCUGUGAAGUGCCUUGCACUGCUAAUGAGACCCUGUGUGAUCUCUUAUCGCUGGAGGGGCUGCCAGAUGCCACUAGCAAGAGUCCCAGAGAACUGGUGAUGAGCAUAAGGCUUGUGAGAAGCAGUUUGCUAAGAACAGUAGCUCCACAAAAAACUUUGGGUUUAGCAGACACUGCCUUCCAGAUGGACAAUACCUCUGUGAGCAGCUGCAGAUGAAAUCUUCAGGGUGGAGAUGAGGGGAAGGGAGGAGAAAAGCUGCUGAGAUAAUGAGAAGCCAGUCAUUAAAGUCAUAAAAUGGUUGAAAGAAUGGUGAGAGUGCUCCUGCCUCAAAUAAUGAAAAAUGUUUUUUUCCUUGCUCCUUGAGAGAAUUCCUGCUCUGCUGCAUCCUGAUAUUUUUUCUCUCCUCAGGGGAUGGUAGUCAUCUUGCAAUUACAUUCUGGUUUUUGUGCUACCAGAGAGACUGAUUUUAUCUGCUGAAAUCCUUGAGAAAGCUCCUAUGGCCUCUCAUCAGCACAGGAUCAACUCCUGAAAAUGGUGUUCUGAAGCAGAAGUCUGGUUGGUGUCUCCCUAACUAGCUAGGAAUGGAGUUUUGCUAGGCUGAGCACGAAUUAUAUGAAAGCCAAAGGUUUUACCUGGGCUGUCAUUCCUGCUGCUGAGAAAGGGAAUGUAGAUGGGUUUUAGAUAUUUCAUUUUAUGUGGUAGAAUUUUACCAGCAGCAAAGGCUGUCUCUGUUGCCCCGAGAGAGCCAGCCAUGGGUGAGUAGAAGAGGACUGCAUUAAGUAAAACCCCCUGUGAGUGAGGGGACACUCUUUUCCCAGGGACACUUGUAGCUAUUUUUGCCUCUGGCAGGGUAGAAUGAGGAGCAAUAAGCAGAUGGAUAAGCUGCCCUUUGGAGUCAUUAGGAUCCCCUUUGUCACAGCACUGUGCAGAGUCCUGCCCUGUCUGUGAUCGAGGGGGACAGCCCAGUGCAGCUCAGGGAUGCCAUGUGUCAUUGUGCCAGGCCAUGUCCAUCAGCCUGAGCAGCAGCUCAUUGACACCAAGAGGUGCUGGUAAAUAGUGUGCAGCUGAUCACUAGUUUUAUCUGAUGACUACUUUAGUGCACUGAACUCUGGAACCUUCUCUGUGUCAUGUUGGAUUAUGA